rnacentral:rRNA from 1 species
UUAAGCGACUAAGCGUACACGGUGGAUGCCCUGGCAGUCAGAGGCGAUGAAGGACGUGCUAAUCUGCGAAAAGCGCCGGCGAGGUGAUAUGAACCUUUGACCCGGCGAUGUCCGAAUGGGGAAACCCAGUGCAAUCCGUUGCACUAUCGUUAACUGAAUACAUAGGUUAACGAGGCGAACCGGGGGAACUGAAACAUCUAAGUACCCCGAGGAAAAGAAAUCAACCGAGAUUCCCCCAGUAGCGGCGAGCGAACGGGGAGCAGCCCGGAGUCUGAAUCAGCUUGUGUGUUAGUGGAACGGUCUGGAAAGUCCGACGGUACAGGGUGAUAGUCCCGUACACGAAAGCACACAUGCUGUGAACUCGAAGAGUAGGGCGGGACACGUGGUAUCCUGUCUGAAUAUGGGGGGACCAUCCUCCAAGGCUAAAUACUCCUGACUGACCGAUAGUGAACCAGUACCGUGAGGGAAAGGCGAAAAGAACCCCGGCGAGGGGAGUGAAAAAGAACCUGAAACCGUGUACGUACAAGCAGUGGGAGCCUCUUUAUGGGGUGACUGCGUACCUUUUGUAUAAUGGGUCAGCGACUUAUAUUCUGUAGCAAGGUUAACCGUAUAGGGGAGCCGAAGGGAAACCGAGUCUUAACUGGGCGUUAAGUUGCAGGGUAUAGACCCGAAACCCGGUGAUCUAGCCAUGGGCAGGUUGAAGGUUGGGUAACACUAACUGGAGGACCGAACCGACUAAUGUUGAAAAAUUAGCGGAUGACCUGUGGCUGGGGGUGAAAGGCCAAUCAAACCGGGAGAUAGCUGGUUCUCCCCGAAAGCUAUUUAGGUAGCGCCUCGUGAACUCAUCUUCGGGGGUAGAGCACUGUUUCGGCUAGGGGGCCAUCCCGGCUUACCAACCCGAUGCAAACUACGAAUACCGAAGAAUGUUAUCACGGGAGACACACGGCGGGUGCUAACGUCCGUCGUGAAGAGGGAAACAACCCAGACCGCCAGCUAAGGUCCCAAAGUCAUGGUUAAGUGGGAAACGAUGUGGGAAGGCACAGACAGCCAGGAUGUUGGCUUAGAAGCAGCCAUCAUUUAAAGAAAGCGUAAUAGCUCACUGGUCGAGUCGGCCUGCGCGGAAGAUGUAACGGGGCUAAACCAUGCACCGAAGCUGCGGCAGCGACNGAAGGUGUGCUGUGAGGCAUGCUGGAGGUAUCAGAAGUGCGAAUGCUGACAUAAGUAACGAUAAAGCGGGUGAAAAGCCCGCUCGCCGGAAGACCAAGGGUUCCUGUCCAACGUUAAUCGGGGCAGGGUGAGUCGACCCCUAAGGCGAGGCCGAAAGGCGUAGUCGAUGGGAAACAGGUUAAUAUUCCUGUACUUGGUGUUACUGCGAAGGGGGGACGGAGAAGGCUAUGUCAGCCGGGCGACGGUUGUCCCGGUUUAAGCAUGUAGGCGGAGGUUCCAGGUAAAUCCGGUACCUUGUUAACGCUGAGGUGUGAUGACGAGGCACUACGGUGCUGAAGUGAUAAAUGCCCUGCUUCCAGGAAAAGCCUCUAAGCAUCAGGUAACACGAAAUCGUACCCCAAACCGACACAGGUGGUCAGGUAGAGAAUACCAAGGCGCUUGAGAGAACUCGGGUGAAGGAACUAGGCAAAAUGGUGCCGUAACUUCGGGAGAAGGCACGCUGAUAUGUAGGUGAAGUCCCUGCGGACGGAGCUGAAAUCAGUCGAAGAUACCAGCUGGCUGCAACUGUUUAUUAAAAACACAGCACUGUGCAAACACGAAAGUGGACGUAUACGGUGUGACGCCUGCCCGGUGCCGGAAGGUUAAUUGAUGGGGUUAGCGGCAACGCGAAGCUCUUGAUCGAAGCCCCGGUAAACGGCGGCCGUAACUAUAACGGUCCUAAGGUAGCGAAAUUCCUUGUCGGGUAAGUUCCGACCUGCACGAAUGGCGUAAUGAUGGCCAGGCUGUCUCCACCCGAGACUCAGUGAAAUUGAACUCGCUGUGAAGAUGCAGUGUACCCGCGGCAAGACGGAAAGACCCCGUGAACCUUUACUAUAGCUUGACACUGAACACUGGUCCUUGAUGUGUAGGAUAGGUGGGAGGCUUUGAAGCGUGGACGCCAGUCUGCGUGGAGCCAACCUUGAAAUACCACCCUUUAAUGGCUGGUGUUCUAACGUAGACCCGUAAUCCGGGUUGCGGACAGUGUCUGGUGGGUAGUUUGACUGGGGCGGUCUCCUCCCAAAGAGUAACGGAGGAGCACGAAGGUUGGCUAAUCCUGGUCGGACAUCAGGAGGUUAGUGCAAUGGCAUAAGCCAGCUUGACUGCGAGCGUGACGGCGCGAGCAGGUGCGAAAGCAGGUCAUAGUGAUCCGGUGGUUCUGAAUGGAAGGGCCAUCGCUCAACGGAUAAAAGGUACUCCGGGGAUAACAGGCUGAUACCGCCCAAGAGUUCAUAUCGACGGCGGUGUUUGGCACCUCGAUGUCGGCUCAUCACAUCCUGGGGCUGAAGUAGGUCCCAAGGGUAUGGCUGUUCGCCAUUUAAAGUGGUACGCGAGCUGGGUUUAGAACGUCGUGAGACAGUUCGGUCCCUAUCUGCCGUGGGCGCUGGAGAAUUGAGGGGGGCUGCUCCUAGUACGAGAGGACCGGAGUGGACGCAUCACUGGUGUUCGGGUUGUCAUGCCAAUGGCACUGCCCGGUAGCUAAAUGCGGAAAAGAUAAGUGCUGAAAGCAUCUAAGCACGAAACUUGCCCCGAGAUGAGUUCUCCCUGAGACUUUAAGUCUCCUGAAGGAACGUUGAAGACGACGACGUUGAUAGGUCGGGUGUGUAAGCGCAGCGAUGCGUUGAGCUAACCGAUACUAAUGAACCGUGAGGCUUAACCUU